CAUUCUCACUUUCUCAGUGCAGAACCAUCCGCCUCCACCUCCACCUAAGCCAUCGCCAUCCCCAUCCGCCGCCGCCGCCGCUCAUCGUCCUCCACCUAGCCAGUGUCCGGCCUCCGCCACUCCUCCUCCUCCUCCACCUAGCCAUUCUCCGACCUCUGCCUCCGCCACUCCUCCUCCCCCACCUCGCCGAUGCCCCGCCUCCGUCGCUUCUCCACUAUGCCGAUGCUCCACCUCCUCCGCCGCAGCUCCUCCUCCACCUCCACCUCGCCGCCCUUGCGUUCCUGGUCUCCCCACGCCGCCUUUGCCGCCGCCACGGAGCGUGUCCGUGCCGGGGCGCUCAGCCCUGAAGACGCGCACCACCUGUUCGACGAAUUGCUACGGCAGGCCACCCCGGUCCCCGAGCGCUCCCUCAACGGCUUCCUUGCCGCCCUCGCCCGUGCGCCCGCCUCGGCCGCCUGCAUUAGAGAUGGCCCCGCCCUUGCCGUCGCUCUCUUCAACCGCGUGUGCCGAGAAGAAGCCGGCCUGCAGGUGGCAGCGCCCACAGUUUGCACCUACAACAUCCUCAUGGGCUGCUGCUGCCGCGUGCAUCGCCCGGACCUAGGGCUUGCCUUCUUUGGUCGUCUCCUCAGGACAGGCCUGAAGACAGAACAGAUCACUGCCAACACCUUCCUCAAGUGCCUCUGCUACGCCAAACGGACGGAAGAGGCUGUGAACAUGCUGCUUCAUGGGAUGUCCGAGCUCGGCUGUGUGCCGGAUGCAAUCUCAUACUCCAUUGUUCUGAAGAGCUUAUGCGAGAAUAGCAUGAGUCAGCGGGCAUUCGACCUGCUCCACAGCGGGCACUCGACCUGCUCUUUCAGUGUGGUGGCAUAUAGCACAGUCAUCCAUGGCUUUUUUAAAGAAGGCAAAACAGGCAAGGCAUGCAAUCUAUUCCAUGAAAUGAUACAUCAAGGGGUUGAUCCUGAUGUGGUGACGUACAACUCGAUCAUUAAUGCAUUGUGCAAGGCCAGAGCAAUGGACAAGGCAGAGCUAGUCCUUCGGCAGAUGGUCGAUAAAGGUGUUCAGCCCAAUACAGUGACUUAUAAUUGCAUGAUUCAUGGAUAUUCCACGUCAGGGCGGUUGAAAGAGGCUGUUAAAAUGUUGACAGAAAUGACAAGCCGUGGUCUUAUACCAGAUAUUGUUACUUACAAUUCGUUGAUGACUUCCCUUAGCAAGCAUCGAAGAAGCAAAGAAGCGGCAGAAAUAUUUUAUUCCAUGACUGCCAAGGGCCACAAACCGAAUGCUGCCUCGUACCGUAUUUUGCUUAAUGGGUAUGCCACUGAGGGAUGCUUUGCUGAUAUGAUUGAUCUCUUCAACUCAAUGGAAAGCAAUGGUUUUGUAGCCGACUGCCAUGUUUUCACCAUAUUAAUUGAUGCAUAUGCUAAACGUGGAAUGAUGGAUGAAGCUAUGCUCAUAUUUACUGAAAUGCGGGAAAAAGGAGUGAGUCCCGAUGUAUUCACCUAUUACACUGUAAUAGCCGCACUUUGCAGAUUGGGUAGGCUGGCCGAUGCUAUGGACAGGUUCAAUGAGAUGACUGAUAUGGGUGUUCAGCCGAACACAGUUGUUUAUCACUCCCUAAUUCAGGGUUUUUGUAUGCUUGGUGAUUUGGUUAAAGCUAAGGAGUUGGUGUCUGAAAUGAUGAACAAAGGUAUUCCUCGUCCUGACAUUGCGUUCUUCAGUUCAAUAAUAAACAGUCUAUGCAAAGAAGGAAGAGUUAUGGAUGCACAAGAUAUCUUUGAAUUGGUUAUAAGCAUAGAUGAGAGACCUGACGUCAUUACAUUUAACUCACUGAUUGAUGGAUAUGGCUUAAUUGGCCAGAUGGAUAAAGCAUUUGGAGUGCUUGAUGCCAUGGUAUCAGCUGGCAUUGAGCCUAAUGUUGUUACGUAUAGUUCACUUCUUGAUGGCUAUUGUAGAAAUGGAAGGAUCGAUGAUGCUUUGAUUCUAUUCAGAGAAAUGCCGCGCAAGAGAAUUAAACCUAACACUGUUACAUAUGGCAUCAUACUGCAUGGGUUGUUCCGUGCUGGGAGAACUGUUGCUGCAAGGAAAAUGUUCGAUGAGAUGAUCGAAGGGGGUAUACCAGUGAGCAUUUCCAUAUACAAUAUAAUACUUGGAGGUCUUUGUAGAAAUAAUUGUGCAGACGAAGCAAUCACACUAUUUCAGAAAUUAGGAGCAAUGAAUGUCAAGUUCGAUAUUAUAACACUCAAUACCAUGAUUAAUGCAAUGUUCAAGGUUCGGAGAAGAGAAGAAGCUAAUGAUUUGUUUGCUGCAAUAUCAGCCAGUGGGUUGGUGCCUAAUGCUUCUACUUACGGCAUAAUGAUAGAAAAUAUUCUAAAAGAAGGAUCAGUGGAAGAAGUUGACAAUAUGUUUUCAUCAAUGGAGAAGAGUGGUUGUGCUCCCAGCUCUCGUCUUAUAAAUUGUAUCAUCAGAAUGUUGUUGGAAAAAGGCCCUCCUGCCAGUAAAAGAUAUCCAGAUUGCCUGCUUGCAGAAAGUAGAUCUGUCACUAUUUCAUUGAGUUCAUUCUGCGGUGUGUCAAAACCACAAGAAUUUGAAAUGACUAUGGAACUUUUGAUCUUUGAUGGGUGAGGAAAGUUAGACCAAGUAGUCAUGAAUGGUUGCAAUUUUGGGGCUAAUGGCUUCUGAUUGCGAUUAGGGAAGGUAACCACAAUGAAUACUAAUGCAAUCUUUUGUAGUAGCUUCCUGAGAUUUUGCAAUCUCUCUAAAACAGUCAUUUUCCUUUAUAUGCAUGCAAUUUUAGCCAUGUCAUUCUCAACGAUCUGCUCUGUAUGCAAGUGGAUUUACUUUUACUUUGAGAUAUUUUCUCUAUUGUCAGGGCGAAUGGGUCCUGGAAGAACGAUGUUUGAGCGGGCUGAUGCUAUGCUCAAGUAUUGGAUAUACAAGUUCAUGCCACUCUACGCUGCCAGUUACACUGGUGGAGUCUGUUGCAUACACAUAGGAGAAAUAUUUUCAGUAAGGUACGGCAAAGAAUUCACUGCUGUGACCUUUAGCUUCAGUGCGCGUGACACCAACUCCGCCUUGGGUGACAGAGGAGAGAGAAUUGAUGGAUCUGAUUGAUGAGACCGUCCUGCUCUCGUACGCGUAUGUUGUGCAUUCCUCUCCAUUUCUGCUGUCCUCAAUUCUCUGUCGCUACUGCUCUUCCAUAGUAAAUUGUUCCAAGAAUCCAAGCUGCGACCUUUACCUGUCAAUUGGUCAUCCAGUGCUCAAUGUUUUGUUGCUGAUUAAAUCACACUGAGUGGGACGAGGCACUGCUGCCAGCCUCGCAUCGAUUCGCUGUGUUUACGCCUCUCCGCUUCCGGAGCUCACAUAUAUACAAUGAGCGCCGCUGAGACGUAAACUGUGUUUUCAAGGAAUUGAGGUGGAUUGAAGGCGCAGAACUGUUCCCGAAAGAUGGAUGUGGAAGGACUCACUGCAAGUGGAACUCGCCACACGAAAAGGAAAUCUCACAGAAAGUUCUCUUUUGUGCCUUGCAAGAUCUAAUGGCCAGAAAUACUUUCAACACCUGAAUCUGACCCACUGCUUUGAAUAGAAGAAUACUGUUGAAUUCUGCAAAUUCAAUGAAGUUUGUCAGGAAUAUUUGAGGCUGUAAAAGUGCGCCAUACUAUAUACGUCAAUGGACUCGCCAAAACCAUCACGCGGCUGCAACUGAUUGAGCAACUGAACUGCAGCCUCCCCGAGUUUCAUCCUGUGAUAUGUUCUGGAGAGAACUUCAUCCGGUGAUUAUGAAGAAGAAUCAGCAUAAGUUAAGAACAUCUGAUCGAAAUAGCCCCCCGUAGCUUCCUCAAUGACUUUACAGAUGUGAUCUGCAUACAUAUAUAGUACCUUUUUCCCAAAGGGUUGUGAUGAAUACUAGGAUUUUACGUAGAAGGAGCAA